rnacentral:rRNA from 1 species
AUUGAACGCUGGCGGCAGGCUUAACACAUGCAAGUCGAACGAGUGGCGGACGGGUGAGUAAUGUUUGGGCAUCUGGCUGAUGGAGGGGGAUAACUACUGGAAACUGUAGCUAAUACCGCUUACCAUAGGAUGAGCCCAAGUGGGAUUAGGUAGUUGGUGGGGUAAAGGCUCACCAAGCCGAAGAUCUCUAGCUGGUCUGAGAGGAUGAUCAGCCACACUGGGACUGAGACACGGACCAGACUCCUACGGGAGGCAGUAGUGGGGAAUAGUGCGCAAUGGGAGCAACCUGACGCAGCCAUGCCGCGUGAAUGAAGAAGGCCUUAGGGUUGGAAAGUUCUUUCGGUAGCGAGGCGUUAACUACAGAAGAAGCACCGGCUAACUCCGUGCCAGCAGCCGCGGUAAUUC